UACGGGGGGGGCAAGCGUUGUUCGGAAUUACUGGGCGUAAAGGGCUCGUAGGGUGCCAACUAAGUCAGACGUGAAAUCCCUCGGCUUAACCGGGGAACUGCGUCUGAUACUGGAUGGCUUGAGUUCGGGAGAGGGAUGCGGAAUUCCAGGUGUAGCGGUGAAAUGUGUAGAGAUCGGGAGGAACACCGGUGGCGAAGGCGGGUCUCUGGGCAUCUCCUGACGCUGAGGCGCGAAAGCGUGGGGAGCAAACGGG
rnacentral:rRNA from 1 species